rnacentral:rRNA from 1 species
UACGGAAGGCAGCAGUGGGGAAUAUUGGACAAUGGGCGCAAGCCUGAUCCAGCCAUGCCGCGUGUGUGAAGAAGGCCUUUUGGUUGUAAAGCACUUUAAGCGAGGAGGAGGCUCUCUUAGUUAAUACCUAAGAUGAGUGGACGUUACUCGCAGAAUAAGCACCGGCUAACUCUGUGCCAGCAGCCGCGGUAAUACAGAGGGUGCGAGCGUUAAUCGGAUUUUACUGGGCGUAAAGCGUGCGUAGGCGGCUUUUUUAAGUCGGAUGUGAAAUCCCCGAGCUUAACUUGGGAAUUGCAUUCGAUACUGGGAAGCUAGAGUAUGGGAGAGGAUGGUAGAAUUCCAGGUGUAGCGGUGAAAUGCGUAGAGAUCUGGAGGAAUACCGAUGGGCGAAGGCAGCCAUCUGGCCUAAUACUGACGCUGAGGUACGAAAGCAUGGGGAGCAAACAGGGAUUAGAUACC